CAGAAUCUGUAUUUUUUAGAAUAGAUGAUGAAAAAUUCUGACCGACACUUCAAAGUUUUCUAGUUAUGAGUUAUAUCGCAGCGAUUCAGUAAAUUUUAUAUCGAUGAUAUUGAUACAGAUUUCAGAUUGAUAAAGAUAAAAACCUGAACAUGUUUAAAUUCAUCAGUUUUUUGUCCUCUUAAUAGCAGGUUAGGUACGAGAUAUAUUUACAGUUGAAUUCAUUGUUAUAAAUGAAAUAAUUGUGGAAGUAGUAAUGAAGACUAGGUACAGUGCAACAAGCAAUGGUGGACAGGGGACGAUUGCGCCGAUGGUACCUGCUAUAAUCCGGUCUCGAUACAGGGUGAUUAGGCUAUGGACACGAUUGAGCCGACAGCAUAUUUAAUCUUUACAGCACGAUAAUUAUUAGGUAAUUACUUACAGCUUUUUUCUAAUUAAUUAGGUGUAUCAAAGGAUAGUAAACAAUGUUUUAUACUUAGUAAAUAAUAAGUCCGUAAGUGUAAGUGUACAACCUUGAAAUAAAUUCUUAUAUUUUA